rnacentral:lncRNA from 1 species
ACAGCGCGCCGGUGCUUUUGGAUGAACUGUGGCAGCUCUCGAGUGACGACGAUGGCAACAACUACGGCAGCGUCAUUGCCGGACGAAUGCCGUGGGAGGAAGAAGGAAGCUCCGAGUGGCUGCUGGACAUCCAGGACUUGGAGAAUUUGGAUGGAGAGAGAUCCAUUAGCGCACAAGGCUACCCGAGAAGGUAGACGACGAAGCACAACAAGUGUACUGUCACAACUGUGGAUUACCUAUCGAUCCCUAGUAAGCUUGGCUGGGGAAGCAAGGAUGGAUUCCUCGAUUCCUGCAAAGUAGAAGCUGGAUCUCCAUGAAGCCUUCCUUCACCCUAUGUUUCUUCUUUUCUUCCCUCU